rnacentral:rRNA from 2 species
AGAGUUUGAUCCUGGCUCAGGAUGAACGCUGGCGGCGUGCCUAAUACAUGCAAGUCGAGCGAACGGACGAGAAGCUUGCUUCUCUGAUGUUAGCGGCGGACGGGUGAGUAACACGUGGAUAACCUACCUAUAAGACUGGGAUAACUUCGGGAAACCGGAGCUAAUACCGGAUAAUAUUUUGAACCGCAUGGUUCAAAAGUGAAAGACGGUCUUGCUGUCACUUAUAGAUGGAUCCGCGCUGCAUUAGCUAGUUGGUAAGGUAACGGCUUACCAAGGCAACGAUGCAUAGCCGACCUGAGAGGGUGAUCGGCCACACUGGAACUGAGACACGGUCCAGACUCCUACGGGAGGCAGCAGUAGGGAAUCUUCCGCAAUGGGCGAAAGCCUGACGGAGCAACGCCGCGUGAGUGAUGAAGGUCUUCGGAUCGUAAAACUCUGUUAUUAGGGAAGAACAUAUGUGUAAGUAACUGUGCACAUCUUGACGGUACCUAAUCAGAAAGCCACGGCUAACUACGUGCCAGCAGCCGCGGUAAUACGUAGGUGGCAAGCGUUAUCCGGAAUUAUUGGGCGUAAAGCGCGCGUAGGCGGUUUUUUAAGUCUGAUGUGAAAGCCCACGGCUCAACCGUGGAGGGUCAUUGGAAACUGGAAAACUUGAGUGCAGAAGAGGAAAGUGGAAUUCCAUGUGUAGCGGUGAAAUGCGCAGAGAUAUGGAGGAACACCAGUGGCGAAGGCGACUUUCUGGUCUGUAACUGACGCUGAUGUGCGAAAGCGUGGGGAUCAAACAGGAUUAGAUACCCUGGUAGUCCACGCCGUAAACGAUGAGUGCUAAGUGUUAGGGGGUUUCCGCCCCUUAGUGCUGCAGCUAACGCAUUAAGCACUCCGCCUGGGGAGUACGACCGCAAGGUUGAAACUCAAAGGAAUUGACGGGGACCCGCACAAGCGGUGGAGCAUGUGGUUUAAUUCGAAGCAACGCGAAGAACCUUACCAAAUCUUGACAUCCUUUGACAACUCUAGAGAUAGAGCCUUCCCCUUCGGGGGACAAAGUGACAGGUGGUGCAUGGUUGUCGUCAGCUCGUGUCGUGAGAUGUUGGGUUAAGUCCCGCAACGAGCGCAACCCUUAAGCUUAGUUGCCAUCAUUAAGUUGGGCACUCUAAGUUGACUGCCGGUGACAAACCGGAGGAAGGUGGGGAUGACGUCAAAUCAUCAUGCCCCUUAUGAUUUGGGCUACACACGUGCUACAAUGGACAAUACAAAGGGCAGCGAAACCGCGAGGUCAAGCAAAUCCCAUAA